rnacentral:rRNA from 1 species
UACGAAGGGUGCAAGCGUUAAUCGGAAUUACUGGGCGUAAAGCGUGCGCAGGCGGUUUUGUAAGUCUGACGUGAAAUCCCCGGGCUCAACCUGGGAAUUGCGUUGGAGACUGCAAGGCUAGAAUCUGGCAGAGGGGGGUAGAAUUCCACGUGUAGCAGUGAAAUGCGUAGAGAUGUGGAGGAACACCGAUGGCGAAGGCAGCCCCCUGGGUCAAGAUUGACGCUUAUGCACGAAAGCGUGGGGAGCAAACAGG